rnacentral:misc_RNA from 1 species
UCUCCGUAGGUGAACCUGCGGAGGGAUCAUUACAGAGUUCAUGCCCUACCGGGUAGAUCUCCCACCCUAUGUUAUUAUUACUUUGUUGCCUUGGCGGGCCGUUAGGCUCCGGCCCGACUACCGGCCCCGGCUGGUAAGCGCCCGCCAGAGGACCCAAAACCCUGAAUAUUAGUGUCGUCUGAGUACUAUAUAAUAGUUAAAACUUUCAACAACGGAUCUCUUGGUUCUG